UCCUUUCCUUACAUUCCUUUCUUUUUCACACGGAAGGGGUGGUUUGCAUAAAAUUAAAAUAUCCAGAUACACAAAAAUACGGAGCAGUAAAGAAAGGUAAAGCGGCAGAUGAGCAAUAUUGUCGCUCCAACGUAGUGACAAAUGAGCUGCUACAAAUGCUUCUUAACAGUCAUGCUUUAACGGUACGAGUGGUGCCUGCAUUGCGUUUAGAAAAAAAUUACGAUGCACUACCGAGGUUUUGCUUCAUUUAUCAUGUUAAAGGUAAACAGCCGGACUCCACUGUUAUACUCUGCGUCGUCGCAAACUACUGAAAGGCGUCACAACGCAUCUACAGCGCGUAAAUGUAUAAAGCAAGGCUAUAAAAAGGUCACCUUAAAUGCAAAUCGGAGCGCCGAACCUACGCGUCUUGUUGGAAAGAGGAAGCGAGUGCUCUUCAAAACGCAAUAAACAAUGGCCACAUAUCGAUUUAUCAAUAAAGAUCGUUAUAAAACGCUUCUGCGUACUGGCGGUGCAAAAAACACAAACUGUUUGAAGAAUUUAAACCAUUUAAACUGGGACUGAAUCUUUCAAUGACACGGACGCCCUGCAACAAACUAAUAGAAUAACUUCCGAGCGCUGAGAACGAGAUUAACGCUUACAAAAAAAAAAAAAGAUUGGCUUUGCUAGUUUCUGUUUCGGUUUCUGAUGCACGAAGCGCCACCUGCUUCCUGCAAAAAGUGCCAUGGCAGCUUCCUGUUUACUUUUCGAAGUUGGCGUAACUAACGCAGCUGAGUCUCGAAGCUUUCGUGUGCCGUUAUGCAUAACGCAAUGUCAUUAAAUAGAUGAUAUGAGUAUUUGUGGAGCCUCUAGAAAGUCCUGCAUCGAUGCGUGUGUGUCUUUGUAUACGCGCCAUCUCUGGAGUGUGUGCAAAGUUCUUGGCCUCGGUCCAAAAUUUGCCCAAGCUACCAGCUGGACUAAACCGGAACUUCCCUGUCCGUCAUAAGUAAAGUGUCCAGAAGAGCCCCGCAAAAAGAUGGUGUGAAGAUGAACUCGGAAGGUUUAGAUGCCCUGUUAUGAUGUAAGCCCCCAACCUUCUAAGUUACCUGUAAAAUGUGUAGUCUUACCUGAAGAGUAAUUCAUUGUGUGUCAUACCAGCUGACAAAGAGGGUGGUUUUGCAGUUUUUUUUUUCCUUUAAAUGUUUCUUGGAAAAAGCCAGUCAAGCAAUUUCUGCAGUGUUCAAUGAGCGCAAAGAUGUAUCACUUAUGAAAGUAGCAGCAAAACCAAGUGAAAUUUACAGGAAGUUGAAUCUCGAUAAACUAAGGAAAAGCUCAGAGAUGUAAUUUUUAGUAAGUGCACAAGGAGGAUGUUCCUUUUCGGGUCAUAAUUUCCGAAAGGGGUACCUGGCAGAAGCAAGCUGCCCUGUACCUGGUUUCAAAGCUGAAUGUUAAAGAGAUUGAUGACCAGUUUCUUGUAAAAGGUUCUGACGAAUCCUUGAUUUUGUUAGGUUUCAUGGCAAAAAGGGCUUCAAGGCCUUCUCAGCUAAGGUCAAAGAAUUAUAUUAUUCUAUCCUGCUCAAUGACCUUAUCCAUUGUGUCGAGGAUUGUAUUGACAAAUAUGGCGCUGUAAGGUUUUCACAGGAAGCAGGUUGUUUCAGUAGAAGGGUAUUUAGAAUUAUGGUGUUUUUACAUGUCGUCAACCUUUGCACAGUGGAACAAUAGGCUGAAUCUGCAGAAGAACGGCAUUUGCAUAGGGUUGUGUCUGGCUCCCGUCUUUAGCAACCUAUAUUUAGCACAAUUAGAUAGGCACAUAUAUGACCACCUCACGGGACUAACAGUUUUUCAGCGAGCUUUUAGAUUUGUCAACAAUUUUUUAGUGUUUCUGGAUUUCCCUAGUAAUAGUUUUCUAGAAAAAUGUCCUGAUGUCUAAGAUUUCUUGCAAGUGUUUGAGACCUCUUGAAGUGACUUUUGAAGUGCAAUACGUUUCAGUUUCUUGACUUUCAGUUCAUCUUUACUGAUAGUAGGACUUGCUGGGCUUACACUCCAUGAGCUAAGAAACCCCUUCUCCAAUUUCAUUCAGCCCAUUUGAAUUUGGUGAAGAGGGGCAUAACUAACUAAUAGGGAUGGCUUUCUGCCCACUACUGCGCAUGUGGAUGUAGGCCGAAAUUCAAAAAAUGUUUUAUCGUUGCAAAACACGGAGACCGUGUUACACGUGAGAUAAUCAAAGUGGGAGAAAUUCUAUGUUUAAAGGAUGGUUGCAUCAGCACCCCUCUAUCGCUCUCACUGACAGGAGAUCAGACACCUCGGGCUAUCACCACGUUGAAUUUUGUGUGGCUUUGUCGUGGCGUUCUAAGUAUGGUUGGUGGGCUAUUGUGUGACUGUAUAAAUAGCGAUGCUUUCUGAAAAGAAAAUAAACAGUUGGAAGUUCA